rnacentral:miRNA from 1 species
UUUCCAAUUCCACCCAUACCU